rnacentral:lncRNA from 1 species
CACAGAAACACACAAUGCAUCCCUUACACACACAUGCAAACACACACUGCUUCUCUUACACACACACACAGAAACACAAUGCAUCUUACACACACUCAACGCACCCCUUACAGACACACACACUGUAUCCCUUACAUACAAAGAAACACACUUUGCAUCCCUUAUGCAUACAAACACAGAUUCACACAAUGCAUCCCUUACACACACAUGCAAACACACACUGCUUCUCUUACACACACACACAGAAACACAAUGCAUCUUAC